UACGUAGGCAGCAAGCGUUUGUUCGGAGUUACUGGGCGUAAAGGGUGUGUAGGCGGUUCCUUAAGUUUGCUGUGAAAUCUCCCGGCUUAACCGGGAGGGUGCGGUGAAUACUGAGGGACUAGAGUACGGGAGAGGAAAGUGGAAUUCCUGGUGUAGCGGUGAAAUGCGCAGAUAUCAGGAGGAACACCCGUGGCGAAGGCGGCUCUCUGGUACGUGACUGACGCUGAGACGCGAAAGCGUGGGGAGCGAACAGG
rnacentral:rRNA from 1 species